rnacentral:rRNA from 1 species
UUAAGUUAUUAAGGGCGCACGGUGGAUGCCUUGGCACUAGAAGCCGAUGAAGGACGUUACUAACGACGAUAUGCUUUGGGGAGCUGUAAGUAAGCUUUGAUCCAGAGAUUUCCGAAUGGGGAAACCCAGCAUGAGUUAUGUCAUGUUAUCGAUAUGUGAAUACAUAGCAUGUCAGAAGGCACACCCGGAGAACUGAAACAUCUUAGUACCCGGAGGAAGAGAAAGAAAAUUCGAUUCCCUUAGUAGCGGCGAGCGAAACGGGAAGAGCCCAAACCAACAAGCUUGCUUGUUGGGGUUGUAGGACACUCUAUACGGAGUUACAAAGGACGACAUUAGACGAAUCAUCUGGAAAGAUGAAUCAAAGAAGGUAAUAAUCCUGUAGUCGAAAAUGUUGUCUCUCUUGAGUGGAUCCUGAGUACGACGGAGCACGUGAAAUUCCGUCGGAAUCUGGGAGGACCAUCUCCUAAGGCUAAAUACUCUCUAGUGACCGAUAGUGAACCAGUACCGUGAGGGAAAGGUGAAAAGCACCCCGGAAGGGGAGUGAAAUAGAACCUGAAACCGUGUGCUUACAAGUAGUCAGAGCCCGUUAAUGGGUGAUGGCGUGCCUUUUGUAGAAUGAACCGGCGAGUUACGAUUUGAUGCAAGGUUAAGCAGUAAAUGUGGAGCCGUAGCGAAAGCGAGUCUGAAUAGGGCGUUUAGUAUUUGGUCGUAGACCCGAAACCAGGUGAUCUACCCUUGGUCAGGUUGAAGUUCAGGUAACACUGAAUGGAGGACCGAACCGACUUACGUUGAAAAGUGAGCGGAUGAACUGAGGGUAGCGGAGAAAUUCCAAUCGAACCUGGAGAUAGCUGGUUCUCUCCGAAAUAGCUUUAGGGCUAGCCUCAAGUGAUGAUUAUUGGAGGUAGAGCACUGUUUGGACGAGGGGCCCCUCUCGGGUUACCGAAUUCAGACAAACUCCGAAUGCCAAUUAAUUUAACUUGGGAGUCAGAACAUGGGUGAUAAGGUCCGUGUUCGAAAGGGAAACAGCCCAGACCACCAGCUAAGGUCCCAAAAUAUAUGUUAAGUGGAAAAGGAUGUGGCGUUGCCCAGACAACUAGGAUGUUGGCUUAGAAGCAGCCAUCAUUUAAAGAGUGCGUAAUAGCUCACUAGUCGAGUGACACUGCGCCGAAAAUGUACCGGGGCUAAACAUAUUACCGAAGCUGUGGAUUGUCCUUUGGACAAUGGUAGGAGAGCGUUCUAAGGGCGUUGAAGCAUGAUCGUAAGGACAUGUGGAGCGCUUAGAAGUGAGAAUGCCGGUGUGAGUAGCGAAAGACGGGUGAGAAUCCCGUCCACCGAUUGACUAAGGUUUCCAGAGGAAGGCUCGUCCGCUCUGGGUUAGUCGGGUCCUAAGCUGAGGCCGACAGGCGUAGGCGAUGGAUAACAGGUUGAUAUUCCUGUACCACCUAUAAUCGUUUUAAUCGAUGGGGGGACGCAGUAGGAUAGGCGAAGCGUGCGAUUGGAUUGCACGUCUAAGCAGUAAGGCUGAGUAUUAGGCAAAUCCGGUACUCGUUAAGGCUGAGCUGUGAUGGGGAGAAGACAUUGUGUCUUCGAGUCGUUGAUUUCACACUGCCGAGAAAAGCCUCUAGAUAGAAAAUAGGUGCCCGUACCGCAAACCGACACAGGUAGUCAAGAUGAGAAUUCUAAGGUGAGCGAGCGAACUCUCGUUAAGGAACUCGGCAAAAUGACCCCGUAACUUCGGGAGAAGGGGUGCUCUUUAGGGUUAACGCCCAGAAGAGCCGCAGUGAAUAGGCCCAAGCGACUGUUUAUCAAAAACACAGGUCUCUGCUAAACCGUAAGGUGAUGUAUAGGGGCUGACGCCUGCCCGGUGCUGGAAGGUUAAGAGGAGUGGUUAGCUUCUGCGAAGCUACGAAUCGAAGCCCCAGUAAACGGCGGCCGUAACUAUAACGGUCCUAAGGUAGCGAAAUUCCUUGUCGGGUAAGUUCCGACCCGCACGAAAGGCGUAACGAUUUGGGCACUGUCUCAACGAGAGACUCGGUGAAAUCAUAGUACCUGUGAAGAUGCAGGUUACCCGCGACAGGACGGAAAGACCCCGUGGAGCUUUACUGUAGCCUGAUAUUGAAAUUCGGCACAGCUUGUACAGGAUAGGUAGGAGCCUUUGAAACGUGAGCGCUAGCUUACGUGGAGGCGCUGGUGGGAUACUACCCUAGCUGUGUUGGCUUUCUAACCCGCACCACUUAUCGUGGUGGGAGACAGUGUCAGGCGGGCAGUUUGACUGGGGCGGUCGCCUCCUAAAAGGUAACGGAGGCGCUCAAAGGUUCCCUCAGAAUGGUUGGAAAUCAUUCAUAGAGUGUAAAGGCAUAAGGGAGCUUGACUGCGAGACCUACAAGUCGAGCAGGGUCGAAAGACGGACUUAGUGAUCCGGUGGUUCCGCAUGGAAGGGCCAUCGCUCAACGGAUAAAAGCUACCCCGGGGAUAACAGGCUUAUCUCCCCCAAGAGUUCACAUCGACGGGGAGGUUUGGCACCUCGAUGUCGGCUCAUCGCAUCCUGGGGCUGUAGUCGGUCCCAAGGGUUGGGCUGUUCGCCCAUUAAAGCGGUACGCGAGCUGGGUUCAGAACGUCGUGAGACAGUUCGGUCCCUAUCCGUCGUGGGCGUAGGAAAUUUGAGAGGAGCUGUCCUUAGUACGAGAGGACCGGGAUGGACAUACCUCUGGUGUACCAGUUGUCGUGCCAACGGCAUAGCUGGGUAGCUAUGUGUGGACGGGAUAAGUGCUGAAAGCAUCUAAGCAUGAAGCCCCCCUCAAGAUGAGAUUUCCCAACUUCGGUUAUAAGAUCCCUCAAAGAUGAUGAGGUUAAUAGGUUCGAGGUGGAAGCAUGGUGACAUGUGGAGCUGACGAAUACUAAUCGAUCGAAGACUUAAUCAA